rnacentral:tRNA from 1 species
UAAUGGUGUAAUAGUUAGCUCUCUGGGUUUUGAAUCCAGAGAUCCAAGUUCAAAUCUUGUUA